rnacentral:rRNA from 1 species
UACGGAGGGUGCAAGCGUUAUCCGGAUUCACUGGGUUUAAAGGGUGCGUAGGAGGGCAGGUAAGUCAGUGGUGAAAUCUCCAAGCUUAACUUGGAACUGCCGUUGAUACUAUCUGUCUUGAAUACCGUGGAGGUGAGCGGAAUAUGUCAUGUAGCGGUGAAAUGCUUAGAUAUGACAUAGAACACCAAUUGCGAAGGCAGCUCACAAAACUGUAACUGACGCUGAAGGCACGAAAGCGUU